rnacentral:sRNA from 1 species
AGGAGGGAAAGAGGGAGGGAAAGGAGAGAAAGAGAGAGAGAGAGAGGACACCAAGCUUCUGUGGGUUUCUGCAGUUGUGUUAUGACCCAGGUUGAAAGUGCAGGCCAAUGGGUAAGAACAGCCCAAUAUGGCCCCAGAAUCCCAGAACCCAUCUUGGUCCCUUCUUUCCCCCCCCCCUUCCCUUCUCCUCCUCUCCUUUCCUCUUCUCUUCUUCCACUGUAGCUCUCUUUUUCUCUCCUUCUGCCUCUUUCCUUCUUUUCAUUCUUUCUUCUCUCUUUCCUUCCUCCCU